rnacentral:rRNA from 1 species
GGCGAACGGGUGAGUAACACGUGAGUAACCUGCCCUUUACUUUGGGAUAACUACCAGAAAUGGUGGCUAAUACCGGAUAUGACUCCUGCCUGCAUGGGUGGGGGUGGAAAGCUCCGGCGGUGGGGGAUGGACUCGCGGCCUAUCAGCUUGUUGGUGAGGUAGUGGCUCACCAAGGCUUCGACGGGUAGCCGGCCUGAGAGGGUGACCGGCCACAUUGGGACUGAGAUACGGCCCAGACUCCUACGGGAGGCAGCAGUGGGGAAUAUUGCGCAAUGGGCGGAAGCCUGACGCAGCAGCGCCGCGUGCGGGAUGACGGCCUUCGGGUUGUAAACCGCUUUCAGCAGGGACGAAGCUUUUGUGACGGUACCUGCAGAAGAAGCACCGGCCAACUACGUGCCAGCAGCCGCGGUGAUACGUAGGGUGCGAGCGUUGUCCGGAAUUAUUGGGCGUAAAGAGCUUGUAGGCGGUUUGUCGCGUCGAAAGUGAAAACUCGGGCCUUAAUCCUGAGCUUGCUUUCGAUACGGGCUGACUAGAGGAAUGUAGGGGAGAAUGGAAUUCCUGGUGGAGCGGUGGAAUCCGCAGAUAUCAGGAGGAACACCAGUGGCGAAGGCGGUUCUCUGGACAUUUCCUGACGCUGAGAGGCGAAAGCGUGGGGAGCAAACAGGCUUAGAUACCCUGGUAGUCCACGCCGUAAACGGUGGGCACUAGGUGUGGGUCACAUUCCACGUGAUCCGUGCCGUAGCUAACGCAUUAAGUGCCCCGCCUGGGGAGUACGGCCGCAAGGCUAAAACUCAAAGGAAUUGA